AUUCCUUUAGAGUUCAUGGGUAACGCUGGCUGGGAUCCUGCAGGGUUGAAAAACCAUAAAUUACCUGACAGGGACAUGAAGACAGCAGCAACCGCAGAAGCUUUUCUGAGAGGUUCAAACCUGCAGGGAGCAGCUUCACGCGGGGGUCACUCUCCAGUCAGUCAGACUGGAGGGGAUAACACGGUUUGAACUGAGUAAGUUAUGGGUGAGGAGACGUGGGAGGGGAGGCGGGGGAGUCGAUGGUGAGCCUCUUCCGGAAGAAGAUCCACCUUAAGAAAAUAAGGGAAAAAAAGAGCCAGAAGGCCCCAUCUGACACGCUGACAGCUCGCCAUGAGUGACGUGUGAUCUGUACAAAUUUCAGGACUAAUAAAUCUACCUGUCAGAGGAAGGAGACUUGAAAGGCCCGCUGCCCCACGGCGCAGCUUAAAUGCAACUGCCGUUGAUGAAAUCCUGUAGGCUGGAGAAUUACAGCUGUCAGGGAAAAAGAAAAAACGCCUACAUCAGAUCUGACGGCGCUGCCUGGCUCCUUUUUUCCAACCUGUUCUCUGUCUCACAACAACCUCUCCUCCCCUCCCUUUUUAUACAUCCCCCUUUCCUCCCCACACUCAUUUCCUCUCUUUUGUUUCUAAUCCAAAAUACGUGUGACAUGAACUUUAAAAAAAAAAAAAAAGAAAAACCCGGCGUGGGAAAUAUUAUCUCUCUCCCGACGACGUGCAAGCAGGAAAUAUAUUCUCUAAAAAUGUUCUUGUUUGUUCUUUUUCUCUCACAUACAAAAAAAAAAAACUCUCUGGGAGGAACAAAGCUUAAAUCAUAUCGCACAGCUGUUUUGCUUUUCCAUUACAGAGCGCGGGGCUUUUUGAAGUUCAGCUGGACCACGGCCAGUAAAGAGACAUAUUCACUGCUGGUCCGUGACAGCUAUAAACAUCAGCUCACCCGCUCCAUCAUCUCAAGAGAGAAGCAUAAACCAGCUGAGCGUGUUGCUGUAUUUAUGGGAACAGAGCGGACAUGUAAGGCAGCUGAUAGCCAUCUGACCAGGAAACACUAAAUCACAGAUGAAACAGCGGGCGGGCAGGAGGGCAGUUGGAAGCUGUAAAUCACACAUUACAAAGAGCCUGGUGAAUACUGCAGGAACAUUGCUCCACCAUGACAUCGUCCCUCGUAGCCUGCCUUCAAAGCCGGCUCAGGCAGGAAGCAGUCAUUCCCAUUUCCUGUCCGACGACGGCGCAACUGAGGUGUGAAGGUUUUUGUUUUUUUUUCAUGUUUUGGAUAUAUUCUUUUCUCCCAAGGACGUGUGAAUCCAUUGUGACUGUUUCUCCGAGCUGAUGAAAAGAGAUUACAGACGGCACAGGAAUCACAUUUGUAUGAAUGUGACCUCUGACCGUGGUAAAGUUGUCGUCGUGGAAACACCGAUGAUGGGUUUGUUGGUGUCAGGGUUGGUUUUAAAGUUUAAAAGUUAAAAGGAAGACAAAAAGGGACUUUCAAACUAUAAACACCCGGCUUAUCAUCACUUGUUUUGUUUUUUUUUACGUGCACUUAUAUAUUGUUCAUACAAUGUAUAAAGUGACAGGAUUCAUUCGUAGUGAUAAAUUAUCACACUUUAUUUCAGCUCAUUGUUUAACUUCACUGUCGUAGCAUUGUUUUUGGUUAUUUCCUCGUCGUAAGCUACCUGCUCAGUGCCAAACAGACAAAGUUAGAGACCAGCUGUUGAAAAUAUUGACGCACUCAGCAGCUAAAGAGACAGAUAUUUCUCUGUUAUGCUGUAUAUUAGCAUGCUAAUGUUAGUUAGUAGCACUAAACAGUAAACAACCUGACUUCGGAGAUCCAAAGCGCCACCGUGAGGUUGAUAUUUUUAGUUUAGAGUGAAAUGUUUGACAACUAUUUGAUGGAUUGCCAUUAAAAUGUAUACACAAAUUGAGGGUUAAUUGCAAUCACUUUGGUUGUGCAUUAAAUUUUCCUUUAGUUAGCAGGUGGAGCGUCUUUAAAGAGAGGAAGAGGUGGAGGCUCUGACGUUGCAGGAUAUGACCAAAGUGUAGUAUGCACAAGAGCAGGGGACCAAGUACGGAGCCCUGGAGGACGCCACGGGUGACGGGCUGUGGCACAUUAACAACUGUUUAUUAGUCCCUCAAGGAUUUCACAGGCUUUGUUAUGGUCUAAAAUUAAUUUAAAAUGAUGUUAUAGCAUCUUUUCUAAGAAAUUGCAAUUGCAUCUUGCAAUAUUUUUAUGUUUUUGGGAGUUUUAUUCAAUGAAAUUGCAGGAGAAAGUAAAAAUAUAUAUAUUUUGGUGACAUCAACAUUGUGCAGGAGAGACUGCUAUGAUUUACUCGCCAGAAACUACAAUAAUUGGUGCAUAAUUUACAGGGUAUUGGUCAAGUUUGUGUAUCAUAGCAACUUCCUGGAGGGACUGAGAGGAUCUGAACCACAAUGUAAAAAAGAGAUGUUGAGAAAACUCACAACUUCAAGGCAACUUCACUAAUAUUUAAAGUUUUAACUCUUACGUUUUGUAAUGAACUAAUAAAAAGUUUGGCCAACCUAUAAUCUUUGUUUCUUCUUUAGAAAAACGCAAUUACUUCAAAAUUGUUCCCAGGAAGCAGUGAAAUUUAAUUAUUCAAUGUUUUUCACUUUAAUGAGUUUUCUGAACAAUUUUUAAAAAUUCAAGAUUCAAGUUUUUCUAAAUAAGGUUUAAGACUUAAAACUCAAAAAAUUUAAUGAAGAUUGGCCUUGAAAGUGCCCAGAGGAAGACAAGUUGUUGUUGUAGUAGGUCAUUACUUUUAAUAAAUUGUUGUGUUUACAGCAGAAUCCAGAUUAAAAUGCUUUAUAAAAAAAGGUCGUUUGAAUCCUGUUUGGCUAUUAUUUUUCCAGUUUUAAUAAAAUAUGUGAGUGUGUGCGAGAAAGCUAGCCGUUGUUCCUGCAGCUCGGUACUACCAAGUUCACCUGUCACCUAAAGGCCCUCAGUGAUUUAUCCUGUCAAUCAUUCGACUCAGGACGUCUAAAGGAAGGUGAAAUAAAAAACAAAGCAUAUGAUAUUGAAGCAAUAAGUGAUAUUAUUUUAAUUUAAUUCAGUUAUGUUGUAAUUUCAGGCGGUGAUGAUGCUCAUUUUGGGUGUGUUUGAUGUGUCACACUGCCGGGGAUGCAGUUAGUAAGUGAAUGUGAACCCCAUUAGCCCCGGAUCACCAGACUUGUUAAGCAGCAGCACCUUCUGCAAUAAUUUACAACCCUUUCAUCUCAGCAGAAUGUGUUUCUUGUCGAGUGUUAAUGGAAGUAAUCCAUUCUUCCUGUCAGCGCUGGGAAACACUUUGUUUUCUGUACAAAUUGUGUUUGGGUGGACGACGCUGGUCGUGUAUUCGGAGGCGGUGGAAGAUGUUUGCCUUGAGUACGUCUCAUACGUGCAAGGUUUUGAGGACAGGAGUGUUUCUAUUUUAGUGUCACAGAGGAUGUAUAUACAGUACAGUCUGCUCUAUAUACUGAACCAUGCUUAUGUGAACAUGAAUCUCACAGUGUGAUUUAUAUGGAGAAAAACAGGAACACAGUUUUGAGGUACUUUUUCUAUUAAAUUAAUCUGCCAGCUUUGGUGUUUAGAUAUUUUACACACAAUACAUGGGCUUUUAAAACUAUGAUUAAUUGCUAUAGACAUAGUUAAUAUUAGCUUGAUGAACUACAGCAUCAAGAUGCAGCUUAUAUGUUAAUAUAUCAGUGAUAACAAUUCAAUAAUGUAACAUAUAUAAUAAAAAUAAAGCAGAUUUUCUGCAUAAUUAGUCUUUUAAUGUUGGAUAUUUAAAGAGGAGCUCCAGAAAUUCAAUACUGAAACACAGUGGAUCCUACCGUUUCUAUCAUAACAGCAGCCAACAAGCUGUAAACACAACCUUUACAUACUAUUACCACGUUGUUGUGGUGAUUCUGAUGGCAAACAGUUGUUAAUCUGCACAUCCUUUACACAAAGAGCAACUUUAUUAUUCAUCUGGAUUCGUGUUUCACUCUCCUUUUAGCUCCGUUUUUGGUCUCCACCAACUCCUGAGAGGAAAUAUUGUCGCUCUUUAGCUGCUCAAAGCUCCACUUCGUUCACCAGCUGGUCUCUAACUUCGUCUGUCAGCCAUUUGCAGGUAGUUUCAGUACAUCAGAGCUCAUUUACUGAACACAUGCACACACACACACACACACACACAAAUGUAUCCACACUUAUUUAAGGUAAUGAACAGCCAACCACAAGAUGGCUGCCUCUCUCGCUCUCCCUCCUUUAAGACACCUUCUUUGGUUUUACUUGUUUUUCAGCUUGUGUUUAGUUCAGCCUGCAUUCAUGUUUUACACCUACAUUUAAUUAUUGACUUCACAAAAGUACAUUUAGUUUACAGUCAGUUAUUAUUAAUUGUUAAUUAUUGGUUUAUUUAAACCGUUACUGUGUUCUUUUGUUAGGCUUUUGAACAAGAUGGGUGUAACGUGUCCAAAUUCCUGCACACAAAAGUUGCUAUACAGGCUUGUUUUAGCAAAAAACUAUGAAACACUUCAGUAUUUAAACUGUAGCUCUUGACAGAGACACAUUAACUACAGACACAACAAACAACAAGUGACUGAAUGAAAACUCAGUAACUCACUCUGAAACCAAAACAACGAGCUGAAAGACCCAAAAACGCUCUGUAAAGCCAAUUAAAUAUAAAAAAUAUUGAUUAGUGCAGCUUUAAGUAAAGUAUUUUGGCAACUCUUCUGUACUUUUGUGCGUCUCUAUUAAACUCCACAGACUCCAUAUUAUGGUUUAUUGAUAUGUGUGAACAUUUUAGCUCGAGCAAUAUCGGUAAUGAUGUUAAUUCAUUCACACUGCAGCCAGCGUUUCUUCCCCUCGUAUGAGAGU